UACGGGGGGAGCAAGCGUUGUUCGGAUUUACUGGGCGUAAAGGGCGCGUAGGCGGCCAGCACAAGUCAGUUGUGAAAUCUCCGAGCUUAACUCGGAAAGGUCAACUGAUACUGUGCGGCUAGAGUGCGGAAGGGGCAACUGGAAUUCUUGGUGUAGCGGUGAAAUGCGUAGAUAUCAAGAGGAACACCUGCGGCGAAGGCAGCCUCCUGGGCCAACACUGACGCUCAUGCACGAAAGCGUGGGGAGCAAACAGG
rnacentral:rRNA from 1 species